GUGGGGAAUCUUCCACAAUGGACGAAAGUCUGAUGGAGCAACGCCGCGUGAGUGAAGAAGGGUUUCGGCUCGUAAAGCUCUGUUGUCGGGGACGAAUGUGCAGUAUUUGAAUAAAGUAUUGCAAUGACGGUACCUGACGAGGAAGCCACGGCUAACUACGUGCCAGCAGCCGCGGUAAUACGUAGGUGGCAAGCGUUGUCCGGAAUUAUUGGGCGUAAAGGGAGCGCAGGCGGGAAGGUAAGUCGGUCUUAAAAGUGCGGGGCUCAACCCCGUGAUGGGAUCGAAACUAUCUUUCUUGAGUGCAGGAGAGGAAAGUGGAAUUCCAAGUGUAGCGGUGAAAUGCGUAGAGAUUUCGAAGAACACCAGUGGCGAAGGCGACUUUCUGGACGAUGUCUGACGCUGAGGCGCGAAAGCUAGGGGAGCGAACGGGAUUAGAUACCCCAGUAGUCC
rnacentral:rRNA from 1 species